CAUGCUAGACGUAGUUUGAUCCUGGCUCGAGGACGAACGCUGGCGGCGUGCCUAACACAUGCAAGUCGAACGAGGUCCAUGCAGUGGCAACACUGCGGAAGACCUAGUGGCGAACGGGUGAGUAACACGUGAGGAACCUGCCCCGAAGACCGGGAUAACCCUCCGAAAGGAGAGCUAAUACCGGAUACCCCCACCUGGUCGCAUGGCCGGGUGAGGAAAUGGAUUCCGCUUCGGGAGGGCCUCGCGGCCUAUCAGCUAGUUGGUGAGGUAACGGCUCACCAAGGCAUCGACGGGUAGCUGGUCUGAGAGGACGAUCAGCCACACUGGGACUGAGACACGGCCCAGACUCCUACGGGAGGCAGCAGUGGGGAAUCUUGCGCAAUGGGCGAAAGCCUGACGCAGCAACGCCGCGUGGGGGAUGAAGGCUCUCGGGUUGUAAACCCCUUUCAGCAGGGACGAAAAUGACGGUACCUGCAGAAGAAGCUCCGGCUAACUACGUG
rnacentral:rRNA from 1 species